GUUUGGUUAAGUUAGAAAGGGCGCACGGUGGAUGCCUUGACACUAGGAGUCGAUGAAGGACGGGACUAACGCCGAUAUGCUUCGGGGAGCUGUAAGUAAGCUUUGAUCCGAAGAUUUCCGAAUGGGGAAACCCACCAUACGUAAUGGUAUGGUAUCCUUAUCUGAAUACAUAGGGUAAGGAAGACAGACCCAGGGAACUGAAACAUCUAAGUACCUGGAGGAAGAGAAAGCAAAUGCGAUUUCCUGA
rnacentral:rRNA from 2 species